rnacentral:rRNA from 1 species
UACGGAGGGUGCAAGCGUUAUUCGGAAUUAUUGGGCGUAAAGGGUGCGUAGGCGGGAGAGCAAGUCAGACGUGAAAUUCCGAGGCUUAACCUCGGAGCGGCAUCUGAAACUGCUCUUCUAGCGGAAUGGCGGAGAAAACGGAAUUCCACGUGUAGCGGUGAAAUGCGUAGAUAUGUGGAAGAACACCAGUGGUGAAGACGGUUUUCUAGGGUUUUCCUGACGCUGAGGCGCGAAAGCGAGGGGAGCAAACAGG